CAGUCGCCGCGGUAAUACGUAGGUGGCAAGCGUUGUCCGGAAUUAUUGGGCGUAAAGGGCUCGCAGGCGGUUUCUUAAGUCUGAUGUGAAAGCCCCCGGCUCAACCGGGGAGGGUCAUUGGAAACUGGGAAACUUGAGUGCAGAAGAGGAGAGUGGAAUUCCACGUGUAGCGGUGAAAUGCGUAGAGAUGUGGAGGAACACCAGUGGCGAAGGCGACUCUCUGGUCUGUAACUGACGCUGAGGAGCGAAAGCGUGGGGAGCGAACAGGAUUAGAUACCCGCGUAGUCCCUGUCUCUUAUAA
rnacentral:rRNA from 1 species